rnacentral:rRNA from 1 species
UACGAAGGGUGCAAGCGUUACUCGGAAUUACUGGGCGUAAAGCGUGCGUAGGCGGUUUGUUAAGUCUGUCGUGAAAGCCCUGGGCUCAACCUGGGAAUGGCAGUGGAUACUGGCAAGCUAGAGUGUGUCAGAGGAUGGUGGAAUUCCCGGUGUAGCGGUGAAAUGCGUAGAGAUCGGGAGGAACAUCAGUGGCGAAGGCGGCCAUCUGGGACAACACUGACGCUGCGGCACGAAAGCGUGGGGAGCAAACAGG